rnacentral:sRNA from 1 species
GUUUGACCUCUUUGUAGCUAGCCU